UGGCUUGGAUCUUUCUGCAAACAUGUUUCAAAUACAUUUUUGCGACCGAAUCCAGGCCACG
rnacentral:pre_miRNA from 1 species